rnacentral:rRNA from 1 species
UACGUAGGGGGCAAGCGUUGUCCGGAUUUAUUGGGCGUAAAGAGCUCGUAGGCGGCUCGGUAAGUCGGAUGUGAAACCUCCAGGCUCAACCUGGAGACGCCAUCUGAUACUGCCGUGGCUUGAGUCCGGUAGAGGAGCAGGGAAUUCCUGGUGUAGCGGUGAAAUGCGCAGAUAUCAGGAGGAACACCAGCGGCGAAGGCGCUGCUCUGGGCCGGUACUGACGCUGAGACGCGAAAGCGUGGGGAGCAAACAGG